GGUAGCACAGAGGAGCUUGCUCCUUGGGUGGCGAGUGGCGGACGGGUGAGGAAUACAUCGGAAUCUACUCUGUCGUGGGGGAUAACGUAGGGAAACUUACGCUAAUACCGCAUACGACCUACGGGUGAAAGCAGGGGAUCUUCGGACCUUGCGCGAUUGAAUGAGCCGAUGUCGGAUUAGCUAGUUGGCGGGGUAAAGGCCCACCAAGGCGACGAUCCGUAGCUGGUCUGAGAGGAUGAUCAGCCACACUGGAACUGAGACACGGUCCAGACUCCUACGGGAGGCAGCAGUGGGGAAUAUUGGACAAUGGGCGCAAGCCUGAUCCAGCCAUACCGCGUGGGUGAAGAAGGCCUUCGGGUUGUAAAGCCCUUUUGUUGGGAAAGAAAUCCAGCCGGCUAAUACCUGGUUGGGAUGACGGUACCCAAAGAAUAAGCACCGGCUAACUUCGUGCCAGCCGCCGCGGUAA
rnacentral:rRNA from 1 species